UGGAGGCUUUUAAUCCUUGUGUAGAUUAAAGAAAAGUGUAACAGUAGAAUGUUAAAUUACUGGUACUACUUUGCUGGAAGCUUUGUACAAUUUAAAUAAUGUACUCAAUUAAAAAGCUUAAGUAGGAAAACACCGAUGGAAAUUUUACUGUAACCAGAGUCCAAUAUCAUAAAAGUGUUUCCUUUUACUUUAGUUUUUAAAAUAGCUCAGGUCAGUAACUCCUCAAGUAAAAAUUCUUAUUUCCACUGAAAUCAGUUAUGCUCAUAGUUUAUUCUUGAAAGUCACAAAGAAUCUGUGCCUAUUUUUCUUCCUGCUCUUUGAAUCCUACUGGUUGUUGUUGCUGUAAUGGAACUGUUGUGAUAAUAGCUAGCAGUUCUUAAGAUGAUUCUUAAAGACAUUUUGAGAUCCUGGGUAUGUAAACAUUGUGCUAUACAGAAACCGAACUUAUUUUAGACAAACUAGUUCCAGAGCUGAGGUUACUUUUAGCACCGUGCUGCUUGUCAGUGAAAUUACAGUUUUACAGACCUCAGGAAUUCUUAAUUUUAACAUUCCGUUCUGAAAACUACGAUGGUUCCUGAGUUGGUUAAUAAAAAGUUCAGCUAUUAAUUGGAUGGACAGUGUUAAUGUCUGAGAGUGGUAACAGCGUUUGGUUUGCUGUCUACUGGAGCCAUUAGUCUCCAGCUUGAGUGCAUUGUACUAACAAGGUACCUAAUGGGCACCUGAGGAGAGAUGCAAAACUGCAAGUGUGUAUUUGUAGGGCAGGAGGACCUGCUUGGUUGAUGGAAUCUAGUAAUACUGUGCUUAUUUACACUGCAUAACCUAAAAGAUACCAAGGGCAGCAUUCUUUAAAACAGUGUGUUCACUUAGGUAUAAUGAGAGAAGUAUGGAGAAUACCUGGUAGCUGGGUUCCUGUGAGGUGUGUGGACAGAGAGAUGAUUCUCCAGAAGUCUUACAGAAGUGGGUAGAAGAGAUAAUCCAGCCUGCCAAGUGCUACGCACUCAUUCCAGUGCCAAAAUACAAAACACACUCAACAGCUUUAAUGUAAGGGGCAUACUAGGUUCCUUCCUUCCCGUGCUUGGGGGAACAAAUUUGUGUGCUAGGUGGAUGAAUAUAAGCUUAGUUAUCUGCUUAGAUCUAUUUACAGGUAGUUUUUUAAGCUGCUGUGAUUCGAUGGGCUAUUGCAGUAAUUUGGGAUGAAGAAGUUAAGCUGCUCACCAGGUUGUUUUGCCAGGCUGUUCCUUCAAUCCAUAGAGGUUCAUUUCAUGGCAAGUGUUUGGUUAUUUUUUGGGCUGUUUGUAUUUAAACCAGAUUCUAGUGGGGAAAAGAAAAAAAAUAAGAGGAGUCCACCCUUCUUCAUUUUAAAACCCCUCAGAUUCUGAAGGAUGAAAUCAAUCAAGACAAACCUCCUUUGCAGUUUCCGUGUCUGAGGUAUCUUAUCUGUAGUUGCAGUAGUUGUAAAAAUGAAGGUUGGGUUGUUACCUAUCUCAUUCUGCUGAUCUUUUCUAAGGUGACUGUACUGAGUGAUAUUGCUUCAAAUCAGUUACAAGUGACUGAUUUCUAAAAAAGCUGAUUGGCGUUUAGUGCUUAAUUUUUCCGUUCCUAAAUCAUUUUACUGGUAACAACUUCAUUUGUGACACUCCACUUCCACUAGUAGGUGAAAGCUUGAGGGGGAAAAUGUUAUGGUUCUUUCACAAUUCAUUAGUUUGUGGAUGUUUCUGUUAUGUUGUUUCCACACUGAAUGACUCAUAGCUAAGUGAACACAGCAGCCUAAAGGCGUGCCCUCACUGCUGCAGCCCACAGUGAAACUUGAUGCCAUCAUAUAUAAAAAGAGGAUGCUCAUACGCGUUUGAAUCCUUGAGAAAUUACAUGCACAUUGGGCAUAUGUACUAUCAAACACUUCUUCAACGUAGUUUAUUUCAGAAAGUUGUGUUUUACCCUGAUUGCUCUUUUUCACACAAUUAAUUUACCAAGUUGUUGGCAACAUCUUGGCAACAUCUGUCUUGUGAGUGUAAGUUAGAGCUUAGAAAUUGCCUUUGUUUUGUAAAGCAGUACGGUUUCAGUGUAUUCAUUUCUGAACUAUUUGAUAAGAGAUUAUGGAAGUACUUGCAUUGCCACAUUGUUUUUGUAAUGAUUGAGACAGAUUCAGAAGUGUUUCUGUCAAGUUGAUAGCAUGAAAACACAAAUUAUAGUGAACCAGUUGGCCUCUGGUUAUCCUAGUUCUUGCAUUGCAAAUUGCUUACCAAUUCAAUCUUUCCUUGUUUAAGAGAAAUGUCAAAAAAGAAGCAGCCUUACCUACUGACAUGUCAUACAUCUUCAUUUGUGUUAGAGAAGUUUUGUAUUGGAACUCUUCACUGCCCUGGGGUUUCCUUUCCUACAUCCCUUACAUCUCCCUGACCCUGUAUACUGGUACCUCGAUUGCAAAAUGCAGACAUUGAGAGUAUUGAAUAAAAUAUGUACUUUGUUUGUUUGUUUUGAAUCUUUAGGUGCUGCUGAUAGUGAUGGUGUGCUGUUUUGCAGUUUCCAUGUCUGAGAUAUCUUUAGUUACAGUUGUUGGGGUGUGUGUGUGUGUGUGUGUUGGUUGUUGUUUCUCCAGGUGUUAAACAGCAGUGUUAACUAAAAGCUGCUACUGUUUCUGUACUGAAAAUAUGUAUAGAGGUCCACGUUUGUUCUCUGGGUGGCAGAGCUAUGGAUUUGAUAAUACUGAGACAGAUUAUAAAUACAUUGUGAGUAAGGUACCUUUAAUUUAUUGGUCCUAUUCAACUAGGCUAGCUAUGUGCUAAAGCAAACAUGUUUAUAUUAAGGAAUUGUCUUGCUGUAAGAUUUUCACUUUAUGCUUCUCACAGCUGUACACCAUGUUAGCUUUUCUGUGGAUGUCCAUAUUUGUUGUCAGGAGGAGGUGUCUGUGCUCACCUAACUCUGAUUCUGCUGACACAGAUCUGAUCUCCAUCCCUCUUCUGGUUUGUGGUUUAAGGCUAUAAUGUGUUAAUGAAAACUACACGCAACUAUCAACAAAAGCUGCCACAACUUCCAUGGAAUAUACUGGAAGACAAUGAAAGCAGCAAUGUCAAUCGUGUUUCAAAUUCCAGCACCCCAGGCCAAGUCGUUCUGGGUCACUUGAGGAUGUCUCACUAGGAGAGUAUAGGAAGAAUAAAGCUGCAACAGAACUCUGCUGUUUGAUCUUCCAGUAGCGUUGAAGCAUAGGCAGGGGAGUGAGUAUCAAAAUGAAAAUACAUCAGAAAUUGCCACUUGGGCAGUUCAGGAGAGAACAGUGUUGUUGCCACUAUCAGGCCCCAUUCACCUUUCAAUAAACAUAAGUAGCAGUAGGAUGCCAGAAAUGGGCAUACUGUUGUGCUCCAUCCACAUCUGUAAGUAUGAACACAGGCUGCUCUGCCUGUGGUGCUCUCAGUUUGUUGAGAUCCUUCCUCCUUUGCCAGUAGAGGUCCUGGAGCCUUGCUGCAGCCUGGGCCCUUUUAGCCUUUUCCACCUGUUUCAGAGCUGUUUUUUCCUCCCGUACUGCCUGCUGAAGAUGCAGAGCUCUGUGAUUAUGUUGAGGGGCUGUGAUGUGAGACUGUGUGGGCUGUGUAGAAGUGCAGACAGGUUCAUGUCAGGUGCUGAAUGUUCUGACCUUCUGCUUUCUGUGCUGAACCAUUAAGCCCUUUUAUCCCAGGCAGCACUUCCACCCAAGGCUGUACACUGCACUGCCAUUCACCCAGCAUACAAAGGCAUGCUCAGGUGGCCUCAGGUUCCUCUCACUUGCAUCAGUACCAGAGGCAAUAUUGAUGAGGGCCAGCCAGCAGUGCCGUCAAGAGAACAGCACCACAGUGCUGAGGGGUAGAGGAGAAGAGCACGUAGCCUGUUCCAGCCAUCAACCUGUUUGAUCAGGAGCUGCCUGUGGGUUUGAGCUGUGCUCGUGCACAGGAUGCCCUCGUGUUACAGCAGCAGGUUAGAUCUUCCCUUGAAGUGUAUGGUCCCAGAUGUUCUUGUUUAAGAAUGUGCUUUGGCUGAUGGGGUAAAGUAACUCCUGCUUGAUGCCUUCAUGCUACAUGCACUGCAAGGUGGGUGCUCUGUGCAGUGUAUCCUGAUGGAAUCCUCUUAGUUCAAUAUUUAAAACAAGAUGUUAAGAAUAAAAGAGUUCUGGUCAUUAAACUGGAAUUAAUGUGAAGCAGGAGCUGAUUGAUAACCUGACACUUGGCUUCUGUAGCACCUGUCUCAAAGCAAUGGCUCCUUACACUGUACAUUAAUCAUGAAGGAGAAGUUCAGAAAUGCUUCAUUCCAUCCAGUAACUUUUAUUAUGAAGUAAAUAGCUUUCAUAAUAUUGGAAUGAGCAAAUAUAUGUGUUUAACAAAAAUGCUUUCAUAUCCAAGUGAGGUUAGUUUAUGCCUCUUUUCCAGUGCGUUUAUUUUGUUGUAAUUGUCUUCCUUCCCUUUAAAAGGGAAAAUGGACAUGGAACAGCUUUGCAGGUAAAUGUUCAUGGAGUAUAUUUUGAAAUAUUCAGUACAUAUUUCUAAGCUUCAUCUAGAAAAGCAAAAUAUCCCUUUUAUAUUAAAAAGAGGCUGCAGAUUGCCAAUGAGGUGUAUCAUUGAAAUGAUCACAGGCAAAAGCUGUUAAUCUGGCAACCGUUGGUUUCCAAACAGAGCAAAUUAAGGGGGUUAAGUGUUAUGUUCUGAUUUCCUGCUGUUCAAUGGUCUGUUUUUGGAACACAGAUGAAAUGUAUGUUGCCUUUUGGAUUCACAACUUGUAUACUGUUUUUCUGCAACCUGUUGCCAUUUCUUUUAUACCCGGCAGCUUACCUGUCAAUGUGGACAGUAGGUCAUCUCAAACCCACAGCUUCACUACACAAAGUCUGUUUAGCUGUUCAGUUUCUGUCAUCAACGUACUGACUUCGUUUUCUCUCCAAAAAAGAGUUCCCAGGCUGUGUUUCUGGUUCUCUUUUCUAUGUUAUUGUCUUCUUAAGUCUUCAUUUUCUCUCUUUAUUGCACCGUGGAUUGCUUCAGCCGUUUAUUAUUGCCCUAUUUACGUGACCCAGCCACUUAUUAAACCAUGAAGUCUUAUCCCUGCUUUGGCAUUGCUGGAAGUCUCUUCUUUGUAUUCCCUUGUAUAUUCCACCCCUGGCCACUUUUUUUUAGUAUUUCUUCCCUUUACCUUCCCAGACAGUGUGGAAGUCUCACAGAACUUUAGUGCAAACUGUAGGAAAGCUUUGAUAUUGUGAAUAAGAAGUUAAUAAUGGAAUAAACUUGCUCUUCUUUUUUUAGUUUUUGUUUUUUUAAACGCAGGAAUUGUCAUUAUUGCUAUAAGCCAUGAUACAGUUUCCCAUUUCUCAGUAACUAUAUCCCAUUUCGUCAGUUGAUGUUAAUUCCAAAUAUGUUUUGUCCAGAUUUCUUUAGGUAGUAACUUGUUUAGUGUGACUGUUGUUGAUAUUUAUAUUUAUAUUUAUAUUAAUUUAUAUUAAUUUAUAUUAAUAACUUUCAAUCUCUUUGAUAAUUAACAUGGAUAAAUUACAGAUGUGAUUCUGGCCAGCUUUGAAUUUUCCAUACCUCAAAAGCUUCUUAGUAUUUUUCUUGUAUUGUAAGAUAGCAAGCAUAGCAGCAUCUGAUAGGAUCUCUCGGGAGGUUUUGUUUCUUGAUGAUGUCUGUUCAUAACACUCUUCAGUUUAAACUUCCCAGUUUGUCUUCAGGUGUUCCCAGUGCUUACCAAUGUUCAUCUUUGAACUCAUUCCAUUUUUUACAUAUCCUUUUGGAGAGGGGGAGACAUGUACUGCAUGUGGUUUUUUUUCUCGUAAGGUCACAAGAUUGAUUGCUAUAAUUCCAUUACACCUUUUCUACUCAUUCUUUUCCAUUGUUUAAGCAGCCUCUUUUCUUAUUUUUAUUUUGAUUGAGCAGAAAUUUUCACUGAUGUGCUGAAGUGGUGCCCUAGUUCCUUCCUGAGGUCAAGGCAUCUGGUGUUCUUUCACACUGCGUCAUAACUGAUCUAAUGAACAACAUCCACUAAAAAGUGGCAGUCUUAGUUCCCCACUUGCACCUGGUGCUGACACUAUUCCAGUGAUCCAGUUCAUGGAUCUAUGCUGUUUAAAAAAAAAAAUCUCACCAAAAAAAAGGGUUGAUUUUUCUACUGGUUGUGCUUCCUGGACAGGCUUACCAGUGGUGGCUGCUGCUGUUGUUGCAGGGAAAACAGAGGAGCACGUAGCAAAGGAAGGAGGAGAUAGAAGUAUGGGAUGUGCCCUUUGUGCAGUGUUCUGCAUCAGAUCAAUUUAAUGAGAAGAAAAUUAUGCAGAGAUUUGUAACAGAAGUGUUAAGUUUGAUGUGAACGCAGUGUGGAUGGAGAUGUGUGUGUGAGUGUAAAGAAAAACCAAAAUAAAGGGUUAAUCAAAUGGUGAAGACUGAUAAUGAAGGGCAUGGUUUCCAGGACACCAUUCUCAGCAGAAUCUGUGUGCCACAGCACUGAUCAUUUGCCAGCAGAAGACCUUGUAUCCCUAACAUCAGGAGGAUGGUAACAAGGCUGUUCUUUUUCUGGAUAGGAGGAGGGACUGCAGAAGUGCAUUUCAGACCUAUAUUCCAAACAAGGAAAACAGACAGUGGGCAGCAACCUGGCCUAAGAUUUGUGGUAAGCAAGAUACUGAGGCAAAAACUAUCCUGUCAUAGUUGAUGAUUCCUAAAGGACCUGCUCAAAAAUCUAGCUUGUUACUGCUAACAAAGAACAAUUCCUGACGUGUGAUAAAGCCUCUCGGUAGCUGACGGCCUUUCUUUUCCACACAAGUUAUCCUGGCCACACCAUUUGAGUGCACAUCAUAAGAGACUGUGAGUGAACUCAACUUGGAGAUGUUGUAGGUAACUGUUGCCUUUCUCUAGCCUAAUAUAUUGAGUCCUAUAUUGCUAACUUUCCUUCUCUUGCAUUGUUAAUUUGAAGCCCCAUAAAAACAGAUUUUCUCUUGCUUUUAUUUUUUCUGUUUUAGUAUGUGUUUAUUAUCUAUCAUCAUUCCAAUUUGACUUGGCAUUUUUGUGGCCCUUUUGUUCAUUUUAGUUUGUUUUCCUUUAUUCUGAGUAGCCUAAAUAGCUGCAACUUAAUUAGACUACUACUCACGCGUGCCACUUUCAAGAUGAUUGAUGCCAUAACAGAAGAACAAAACGAUUAUUUUGAGACACUUUGAAGUUAACUCUUCGCCAUUGAUAAAAAUGAUCAUAAUGAAAAUGAUCAUUUAAUCCAGUAUUUUACCUUGUUUCUUCUCUUCUGCUACUGUCUGUGCCUGAGGGGUGUUUUUGUUUGCUUGCUUUCUUGCUUAGGGAGAGUAUUUCUCUUACUUUGGGCUUUGGAAGAACUUUUCUUCCAAAGAAGGGUGGUUAUCUGGAUGAAUAGAUCCAGAGCAAGAACUAGAUCAUCAGCAGUAUUAAUUAUUCCAUUCAAGUUAUUUUGUACAUGAUGCCUGGUCUGAAUUUUACUAGUUGUUUGUACUUGAAUUCGAUUUCCAAAUUUAUUUGGAAGACUCCUAUUUUGCUUUAAUAACUUAUUGAAGAGCACUGUUUUUUCAUAAUGUUUUUAUUUUUUCCAGUAUUAAACAUGUUUUUUGGAGAAUGAGAGCAUAUAAAAUGUAUCUACGGGUUUUGCUUUCUUAUUUUGGUCUGUAAGACCUUCUUUCUGUAACUGAAAACUUAUUUUUAAUAGGGCAUAUUUAAAGUCCAGUAAGUUUAAGAGGGAAGAGCACGUACUGUGACAUGAACUCUUUGCAUAUGCAAAGGGUCUCCUUACAUUUCUUAACUUUGAGACCUACCAUUCUCUCAUCAGUUGUUUCGGAAGAUUGCUUACAACAUCUGUGUCUCACAUGACAAGAGUUUCCAUGCUCUGUUCCAGCGACCCCCUUUUCUUUGCCAAAAGUUCUGCACACAUCCUGGAUCCGUAUAUACCUUCCCAUCUUUUCCCAUCUCCCAUAUUUUGUUCUCUUUUCUCUUUCACUGUUUUGAAUUGUACUGGGAAUUGGCCCAUUCAGAAUAGGGAGAAAACCAACUGGUGCCAGCUGUGAACACAUUCCAGCCCUUUGUGGUAGCAUUAAGGAAUUUAAAAAAUCAUGAAGUUGAUGCAUGACUGUGCAUUUUCUACAUGGCUUGUAUGCUUACCUAUAUGAUAAACAGUAUCUGAUCAUAUAAUUAAUACGAUACUGUGUAGUAUUAUAAGAUUGCUUCUGUAUUAUUGUGAAAUAAAUGGAUGUUAAUUAGGCACGGAAGUUCCAACUUGUGUUGAAAAGACUACAUUCCUAAAAGUUUGCAGUGUAAACGUUAUACACUUGAAAUUAGGAUAUACACAAACGAGAAGGGAAAUAGUAGAAAUUGAGGGCAUCCUCUUUGUGUAAGUAAAUCAAGAGGCUGUUCUCCACAGGCCUUUCCCAGUUUAUUUAAACAGACUGUAAAAAGACUUCUUUGGAGGACAGUUUGGAACACAUGAGGCAUUCCUUCAUCAAAAUUGAUUUCAGCGAGAGUCUUUCCAUUUACUGUACAGGAAGAUCUGUCUCCUACAUCUGAUAGUUGUCUAGAUACUUAAAAUUAGGUGGGAUGUAUAUGCCUUCUUGCAAUUUCUUGCCAAACACUGCUCAUAGGCAGUAGUGUGACUGCUUGUUUGGAGACAGAGGGGAAGGUAAUUCAUAGGUAUCUUAGUAAAUUUUAGAGACGGAAGUGAAGAAAAGCUAUCAAGUACAUUUUCAGAUAUUUAAGGGAGUUUCCCUAGGGUGUAAGGUGUAAAAUGGAAAAAAGCAUGAAAGGUUUGUUUGAAAAUAUAAUGUGGGUGAUAGAGGAGCUGGAAUCUAGAUUCAUGAUACUGGCUGCAGGUGGGAAGAUAUGAAGGGAAGAGGUACAAGAACCUUCUCCAAAUCUGUUUGGUUUUUUUUUCCAAUAAAAAUGUGAUGGUUUUGGAAAGUGUUUUAGACAAGCACAGCAUAAGCGAUUUAAACAGUGUAAUCUAAUGAUCUUUUCAGCUUUAUGCUUUAUGAAAAUUGGCCUAGCUUCAAAUACAAACAUUCCACAGCAGACUUCCUGAUGAUGAUUAAGGAACAAUAGGUGCAGUAGUGAUAAGCCAGGAAUGGCCUUGAAAAUGAAGACAAAUAACAGAGAAGCUGAGGAGAGCUGUGGAGGCACUGACAUGUUCUCCAAGUGAUUGACCUGGAAAAGGGACCUUGUAGCAGUAUUCUGUGUGACUGCAAGUGAGAUCAGGCUGCAUUUCUCAAAAGCACAGAGAGAUAUUGCCAAAUCAGGAUGGUGUGGUGAUGAUGAUAACCUGAUCGAAUACACUAGAUAUUAGAAGAAUUAAGAACAGUAUUGUCCUGUAAAUGUUACAGGGAAAGCAUCUGCAAAUUAUGAAUAUGACUGUUGGGGUGUGGAGUAAAUUUUGGGCCUGAGAUGAUGCUAAUGUUGUAUGUCUGAGCAAUAGUUGGGGUGAUGUAGUAGCUCUGCAGCUGCAUAUAUGUCACUAGCAUUAAGCCAUUCAUAUGAAAACCUUAAAUAGCUAUCAUCUGAUAUAAUUGCAUUUUUAAUUGAUUGGGGUCCUUCACUCAUCUGAUUGCUUCCCAAAUAAUGUAGCUCAGAAUGUAGUCCACCUGCCAGGAAGAACGGGGCUUGAGUUGUGUAGUUUAUUUGAAAUGUCACAGUGGGAUGAACAGCAUAAGAUGGUAUAUCAUGCAUUUGCAAUGGAGGCACUGAUCUUUUUAAUUUGGCCGAUUGUAAUAAUGGACACUAUAUACAGAAUUUUCACAAAAUUUGAAUUAUUAAGUGAAGUCUUCUAAUAACUUUAUUCUGUAGUACUUCAGUAGUAGUUCAGUAAGGCUUCAGCAAUUCAUUGAUUCUGUUCCUUUUUCUGGUCGCGCCUGGUCAUGCAAAAAUUCUCCUCAGCAGGAGGAAGCUGUCAGUUUGCUUCAGGCCUUUAUAGCCCUGUCCUAUACCAACUGCAAUGAUCCUUUUCCUUCCCCUUCAACGUUUCCUAAACUCACAGAUAAAUGGUACAGCAGAGAGAGGGCAAGGGAAUUAAUAUCUGCACUUGGCUAAUUUUCAGCUAUAGUCUUAUGAGUAUGGAAGCGUAUGGAUGUGAAUUAGAAUUGUUUCUGAUCUUGUCUCAAAAAAGAGAUGACUUUUUUUUUUUUCUUGUUCAUUCAAGAAUAGAUAAAUUUCAGAUUGCUAGCUUUGGAACUAUAAACUGAUAAUGCAUUUUUGCAAGAGCAAGAAGAAAUAGUGUCUUAAGUGUAUAGUUGUCAGGUGUCCAGAUUGAAGUAUUAAAAUAUGUAGUAUGCUCUAGGAAGUUAAAUUGAAAAAUUACUUUACUCAGAAAUGUGACCCUUUGCAAAGGAAUUUUAUAUUAAUAGCCCUUCAAUAAUUUUGGGUUACUCAGAGAGGGAGCAGUGGUGGGCAGGUAAGGCUGUUGCAUGCAAAUUCCUGAGCAAGUGCACUUCUUGUUCUUCCAGAAAUCACUGGCAAACAGCACAGUCAGUGCGUGCUGCCUGGUGCCAGCUGUGGGAUGCAGAAGCUGUGUGGGGAGAGACAGGGCUGGAGGUCAGGCUUUCUUCUGCUGAACCCCGUGUUCCCUUAUCACCAUAGGCUUGUUGAGGGACAGCCAGAUAGAUACCUGUCUUGAGAUAAAAUAACCAUAAUCUGACACUAUUCUAAAUGUGGCAUUAUAGGUUCUUUAUAACAUGCAGACUUGUGACAAGUAUAUGGCAUAAAAGUAUUAAUUCAACAUUAAAAUGGAAAUAAAGAUAUAUAUUUUUUAUAUCUAUCCUGAGCUAACACAGUGAGUACAAAAACAUUGCAUUCCCCACAAAUUCCAGAAAUCACAUCUCUCUUGUAUGUGUAUCAGUUUCCUCUUACAUAAGCAGUCCAAGUAAUGUCAGUGCUAGAUGUCAGCAAAGUGGGUGUCAUAAUGUUGACAUGCUUAGUGAAUGUAUUUUUGUUUAGAUUUUUUCCUAAUAGAAAUAAUGAGUCCUUAUCUCUCCAUCAGUGAUAUAGACAAAUCAGCAUCUCUUUCAGUUAAUUUCAGAUGUCUCUAUCUUCAUGUAUCUUAGAAUAUUUUUUUUUUACUUAGUAAUUUACUUUGUAGAAAGGAUCUGUCUUAAACUUAUUAAGAGAUGUAGGAGUAACCAGGAGUAGCUGAUUCUCCUGAAUGUUUUAUUUGGACAGAACGUCUGUUUAUGUUGAAUUUGCUUGGUUAUGUGCUGAUCUCAGAAAGCAUAACUGUAAUACUAAAAGAAAGAAUAGUAUUAUACUCCUGGACAGCCUUAAUGUCAAUCUGGCUAUCAGGUAGAGUUGGUAACAGUAGAGGUGCGGUUAUAUUGAUGGGCUUGAUGAAUUUGCAGAUCAGACUGAAGAGCGUUACACCUUCUGGAGGUGACAGAUACAAAUAGGAAGGUCCCGGGUAGUGAGAAUGCACGAACCCCCCUUCCCUUUUCCCUGUAUGCUGGAUGAUGAGCACUGUUGCUGAAUGUAGAACAACAUGGUGUAUCAGAGUAGAACAACAUGGUGUAUCAGAGUAUAUAGUCCAUGGUGGUCCAUCCUAAACUGAUACUUCUGUGAUGUCUUCACUGUUGCUGUUAUUCAUUCCCAUUAUACGUUUCAGUGUGAGAAAACAUUACAAAGUAGGUAUUUUUUUGAGUGCCUUUUCUCACUGGCAGUUGUAUAUUAUACUAGGUGUUUGCUACCGUGGGCUAUUAUUAGUAUGUUAGGGAGCACAGAAAGUGACUUCAUCUAACUCACUGCCAAGCUAGAACUUCUCACAGCCUUCAGAUGGGCACAAAAGUGAGUGUUUUUAUAGCACUAAUAUUACUUUCUGUCAGUUUUACAGUGUUUUAAAAUAUAGUAAGAUUACCUCAUUUUAGUUUUUGCCACCACAUUACUAAGAAGCUAAAAAUCUACACGCUUAGAAAUGAGGUGUUGGUGAUUAAUAUAAAAAUAUCCCCUUUAUUGAUUGUACAGCACUGUCAUUUAUUUAAAAUAAUAAAAUAAAUUAUAUAUAAAUAAAAAUAUCAGCAGCACUCAGGAGGUGAGCACAAGCACUGCAGGUACUCACGUUUGCCUGAAGGGGAAUUUACUGCCAUCAGGUAAUGCUAUAUAAACCUCCUGGUAUACGUUCUGUAGCUGAAUGCAGCAUAUUGUGGCAAAAAUGUGAAUAUUAUAUUACUUUCCUGGGACUAGUUUGGUGUCUCUUUGAUUAUAGCUGUGGGCUACGACACCUGAUUCAUCUUUUUUCUCUUUGCAUAUUUAGGCCCUAAUUCUGCCUCUGGUCAAAUGGACCUUGAGAGCCAUGGGGCCUGGCUGAGUUAACGCAACAUGAGUGCCUGGAAGUUUCUACUCUGAAGAACUGCCUUGAAUAUUUGAUGACUGGGCUGGUGAUUUUCUGUGAGGAAAAUGAAACAACCUCAUGCAUUGCUUUUGGAUAUUUUUCUCUGGGUUAUGCGGAUUUUGCCCACAAGCAAAGCAGCAAACUCAAAUGUCCUGUAAACAGCCCUGUAGUUGAUAGUGAGAUACACAGCACCCAGUGUGGGGGAGCCCUGAUCCAUGACUUGGCUACCAGGUACUGGGAUAAUACAAGUGGUAAUCAUUCCUGCUGCUAAACAUUUUCUACCUUAUUUCCAUUUGCAUUUGUUUGCCUUCAGCUUCCAGUCAUUGAUUCUUGUUAUGCCUUUCUCUGAUAGAUUAAACAGCUCUUUGGUACUCACUAUUUUCUCUCCAGGAAGGUGCUUUUACACUGUAAUCAGAUUACUUCUCAAACUGGAUUUUUUUUUCUUAAAACUAAAGGUUUGUAUGGUGUUCAUUAUAUUUUUU